AUGUGGUUUAAUUCGAUGCAACGCGAAAACCUUACCCACCUUUGACAUGUACGGAACCCUUUAGAGAUAGAGGGUGCUCGAAAGAGAGCCGUAACACAGGUGCUGCAUGGCUGUCGUCAGCUCGUGUCGUGAGUAUGUUGGGUUAAGUCCCGCAACGAGCGCAACCCUUGUCAUUAGUUUGCUACAUUCAGUUGGGCACUCUAAUGAGACUGCCGGUGACAAGCCGGAGGAAGGUGGGGAUGACGUCAAGUCCUCAUGGCCCUUAUAGGUGGGGCUACACACGUCAUACAAUGGACUGGUACAAAGGGUUGCCAACCCGCGAGGGGGAGCCAAUCCCAUAAAGCCAGUCGUAGUCCGGAUCGUAGUCUGCAACUCGACUACGUGAAGUCGGAAUCGCUAGUAAUCGUGGAUCAGAAUGUCACGGUGAAUACGUUCCCGGGUCUU
rnacentral:rRNA from 1 species